AUGACUGUGAUCUGCGUCCUCAUCUGGACUCUCCUCUGCUGCUGCUUCACAGAGUCCAGAGGACAGGUCACAGUGACUCAGCCUGGACCAGUGAGCUCUGCUGUGGGAGGAUCUGUCUCCAUCUCAUGUAGAACCAGUCAGAAUGUUUACAGCAACUGGUUAGCCUGGUACCAACAGAAAGAUGGAGAAUCUCCUAAACUACUAAUUUACUAUAUUAGCACUCAAGUAUCAGGAACUCCAACUCGUUUUACAGGCAGUGGAUCAAACUCUGAUUUCACUCUGACCAUCAGUGGAAUUCAGGCUGAAGAUGCAGCAGUUUAUUACUGUCAGAGUGCUCACUACAUCAACAGUCAGUAUGUGUUCACACAGUGAAAAACAGUCAUACAAAAACCUCCCUCAUUCAGGCUGAACAGAAACUGAACUGACUGCUGCAGCUGGAAGAUACUGCAGACACUGAAACAGUUCACUGAACAUCCAUUCUAACAAACACACAAACUCAAUAGGCACCUUGUUGGAACCAGAUUUAGUAUAAUUUGUAAAUAUUAAUUACGUCCAGUUUACAAUAAUAAGAGAAAAUUAUAUUAUAAAAUAAAUCCUUUUUAUAUUUAUUUUUAUCAGUUACACUG